AGAGGGAUGCUACCGGGCGACCGGAUGCGGAUCUCGAAAGCCUGUCCCAGUUCGGACUGGAGUCUGCAACCCGACUCCACGAAGUUGGAUUCGCUAGUAAUCGCGCAUCAGCCAUGGCGCGGUGAAUACGUUCCCGGGCCUUGUACACACCGCCCGUCAAGCCAUGGGAGCCGGGGGCGCCUGAAGUCCGGGACCGCGAGGACCGGCCUAGGGCGAAACUGGUAACUGGGGCUAAGUCGUAACAAGGUAAC
rnacentral:rRNA from 1 species